rnacentral:lncRNA from 1 species
AAUCUUCUCCCUUCGCCAUCACUUCAGCACCAGAGCAACGAGAGCGAGCCGCAAGCUUGGUGCUGCAGAAGAAGUGCUCUUCUUGAGAAUCCAUUUCUCAGAAGAAUAGCUUCCUUCUGCGGAAUAUCACCUUCAUAUAUAUAUAUAUAUCUGAGCAAUAAAAAAUGGCUCGCUCUCCCGCCAACGCUAAGCUUCUCGUCGAUGGUCUUUCCCUUUCUGUCUUCCGGUGAGAAUACAACUCCUCUUGCUCUUCUCUUUUCUGGGUUUUUCAUAUUCUUGAUACAUAUAUCUAGACUGUGUUCUCUUCUAUAAUAAAACGAAGGAAAAUCAAGGUUCUUGCAAUUUUCUGGUCCUUUUAUCCUCGAGAAACUGUGGUUUCUUUGUUGCAUGAUUAAGAAAGAAAAGGGUAGGUGUAUUUUGAAUUGAUUGAUUUCUUCUAUUAAUUUACGUGAUUUGUUGAUAUUAAGUGAAUAUUAAUGUGAACAGGAGGUGCUAUGCGGCUGCGCCACAAGGGGCAGUGCUCGGUAGGGAAGGGUCAAGAAGUGGUACGAUGAGGAAAGUGGAAGAAAGGGGUGCGAUUAAAGAAGAUUCAGGGGCGUCAUCUGCAUGGGCUCCAGAUCCCAUCACAGGGUACUACAGGCCAGCAAAUUGUGGUGCUGAGAUCGACCCAGCUGAGCUUCGAGAAAUGUUAUUGAACCACAGGGUUAGGCCACAGUAGAACGAGAAGAACUGGCGGCUGCCCACAAGGUUAUGGUCUGUGGUGGUGUUCACUCUCGUCCCUUUUGGGCAGCUUAUAACUUAAUAGUUUGUUUUGGCUUUUUUUGUUAUGAUGAUCUUCCAUGAGGAGUAGUAUUAGAAAUAUAUCCAACUUCCUAGCUAGCUCUUUUUAUGGGCUCUUGCAUUUGGAGCUUUCAGUUUUAUUUACAAUAUUAUCUUGCUGCUUCGCUUGAGAAAUUUUGAGUUUAAAAUUUUAAUUGAUUUUUUUAAUAAUAAUAAAUUUAAUCAUUCAUUCUAGAACAUGCAAUUUAUAUCUGAUUGAGAAGAUGAGAUAAAAGAGGGAAUACCGUAAAUUAAGUAAACAACCAACUUAUUGUGGCCAAGUUCCCAUCCACCAAAGCAUGGGCUUAAAGUUAAGUUUAAAGGACUGAUUAGCCAGCCCAUUAAGUCAUGUGGUCUCCAUUAAAUUGAGAGUGACCAUAAAAGGGCCCGCUUUAUUUACUAUCGAUUCAUAUUUUGUCUGAAUUCAAAAGAGGUUUAUUAAAAAUAAAAUAAACUUUCAUCCCAAUUCUCUGCUCCUGGUUCCGUCUUUCUAUGUUCACAACCUUCUGAUCUCGGGAAACACCCAAUUUGGAAUCAAAACUUGAACUAUAGGAGACUUGAAAAGAUUGAGAAAAGAAGAAAGAGGAAUGUCAUAUUCCACAAUAAGCUCUAGCAAGAGGUGUCAGAUAGCUUUAUAUAUCAAUUUCGGUGAAAGGGAAGGAAGAAAGAUCAUCUUGAUGACCAAAUUUUCACUUGGUACAAACCACAUACACAUGCUGCUCACACUUCUGUGAUCCUUUUGGCUGUUGGCUUGAUAGUAAAACUACAAUGGACAUGAACCCAAAAUAUUGCACGUACAACUGAAUUUUACCAUAUGGCAUAAACCUCUUUCUUUAACCCUUCACAAUAUCCAAAGUCUAAUAGAGUAGCUUUGCAUGUGAAGAGGGUACCCUCAAGCUUAUGAAAAAUCUAACUAAAAGAAGUACAAGUUUUAAGGGCCCACUCUAGUAUUCAUGUCUGCUCCAACAUCAGUGUCCCUUAAGGCAGCCUUUUUGGCUUGUCUUUUUGCUCAAUUUGAUUGAAAGCCCUCCCCUUGCCACCUUUGCCCUUUCCUUUCCAUGAUGUUUCAGAUUUUCUUUUCUUCCUUGGCUGUGAAUUUCUUGACCUAUCACUAUAAUUUCUUUGCUUAUAUGCUACAUGACUAAAACAUGAUUAAACAUCCACCUUGAUUCAUUCGAAAUUAAAAUAAGUUGUGUGUAUAGUUAGGGUAAGAUUUCUAAUUGUUAAGAUUUGAACUCUCAACAUUAAAUUGACAACUAAUUAAUCUAAACCAUACUUAUAAUUCACCUCUAUCUGUAUACUUGUUGAUGACCGCUGGAUUUCUUCACCCCAGAACAGGGGGGUGACCGCAGCCAAAGGCCCAUGAUACAGAGGNNNNNNNNNNNNNNNNNNNNNNNNNNNNNNNNNNNNNNNNNNNNNNNNNNNNNNNNNNNNNNNNNNNNNNNNNNNNNNNNNNNNNNNNNNNNNNNNNNNNNNNNNNNNNNNNNNNNNNNNNNNNNNNNNNNNNNNNNNNNNNNNNNNNNNNNNNNNNNNNNNNNNNNNNNNNNNNNNNNNNNNNNNNNNNNNNNNNNNNNNNNNNNNNNNNNNNNNNNNNNNNNNNNNNNNNNNNNNNNNNNNNNNNNNNNNNNNNNNNNNNNNNNNNNNNNNNNNNNNNNNNNNNNNNNNNNNNNNNNNNNNNNNNNNNNNNNNNNNNNNNNNNNNNNNNNNNNNNNNNNNNNNNNNNNNNNNNNNNNNNNNNNNNNNNNNNNNNNNNNNNNNNNNNNNNNNNNNNNNNNNNNNNNNNNNNNNNNNNNNNNNNNNNNNNNNNNNNNNNNNNNNNNNNNNNNNNNNNNNNNNNNNNNNNNNNNNNNNNNNNNNNNNNNNNNNNNNNNNNNNNNNNNNNNNNNNNNNNNNNNNNNNNNNNNNNNNNNNNNNNNNNNNNNNNNNNNNNNNNNNNNNNNNNNNNNNNNNNNNNNNNNNNNNNNNNNNNNNNNNNNNNNNNNNNNNNNNNNNNNNNNNNNNNNNNNNNNNNNNNNNNNNNNNNNNNNNNNNNNNNNNNNNNNNNNNNNNNNNNNNNNNNNNNNNNNNNNNNNNNUAACAGGCAGCUGAUACCCUAGUACACCCGAAUCUGUAUGGCAGAGACGCGUGGCCCAAUCCUGGAGAGACCUUUACACGUCACCAGCAAGCAAGACAAUGUAUAAAAGAGGAGUCCCCUCCUCAGAAUGAAAAAGCUUUAUUAUUCAAUACAAGAACCCUAUUCUAUUGGAUCUCAGAUCAUCACUUGUCAUUCAGCAAGUAAAUAAUGGAUAAAUAUUUUGAUAGUAUGGAAUGAUUCUUCUAUUUGCAGAGCAACUCAAUCCCUUCUUAGAUCUAAAUUUCUUUUUAUAUAUUUCUAUACCUAUAAGGUUUAUUAAUUUAAAUUUAAAUAGAAAAUAACGUUCAGUAAUUAGGUGAACAUACUUAGAAUAUGAAAACAAUUUGCUAAGAUCGAAUUUGUAGGGAUUCUGUUUUUUAAGAAUUCCACUUUCACUAAUACUACUAUUCACAUAGAAGAAGAGGAAGAAAAAGGAAUCAAUAAAUUAAUGGUAGAGGCUGGCGACAACAAGGUAACGGUAGGCAAAAAUAGGAUGAUGGAGCUUCCGGUGUGUCCAUUACCACCAGACAUGUGUGCCCAUGUGAGGAUCCUAAUCCUUGCUAUAUAAAAAUAGAAAUAUUUAUUAAAUUCUUUGUCUCAGUUUCAGAUACAAAAUACAAAAUAAUUAAAAAGAGAAUAAAGAAUACAAAUUAAUUCCACACUCAACUCCCUCUGCAACUUUUUCUUCUCCUUCUCCAACUAGUCCACAGUCCACAUUCAUCUGGGUUUCUUGCGGAUAGUCUUAGAGAAAAUUUUGCAACUAUGAACAUCAAAUUUCAGAGUAAGAAAAAUUAAGUACCAAGGUAAGAGAGUAAUAGUAAUAAUAAUAAACACACAAGUUAAGAAAUAUGAUCAAAUGUACUAGUGUAUUAUAGCACAAAUGGCCCUUCAUUCUUCACUCCUUCUAGCCUCUCACGGACAACAAUGAAGGAAUGGCACUUAAGUUUGGAGCGUUGUUCUUAUUGGAAGCUUCUCUGAUGAUGUCUCUCUUGCCGUCUUUUGAAGGAGGCUUCGCUAAAGAUCUCUUUGGACUAGCGAAAGCCAAACCCCAGUUUCUGCUGCUUCCAUUAGCAGGAGGCCCAGCUGCAAACACAGGUGUUUGUUUCCCAUUGAUUUCUUCUGCUGAAGAUGAAACCCAAUGAGAUGAUGAUGAUGAAGAAUAUGAAGAUGAGGGAGUGAUCAUGAACCCACCAAAGAUGCCGCCACAUUUCGCUCUUUCUUUCAUGUUAGAGGUGGCUGCAGCAGGGAUCUUUAGCUUGCCUUCUCUCUGUGACUCUACUCUCCUAAGAGUGCAAUCUCCAAACCCAGUUGAGAUUCUCUCGAAGAAGUCACCAGAGAAGCUCCUGCUUCCACAUCCUACAGAUCUGGACCUUGAAACCUUCCUCUCAAAAGAUGAAGCAGAGGCAGUGGCUUGGCUAUUACGACAAUCAUCAUUUUCUACUUCCACGCUGCCUCCGUUACUGGACAAUGAAGAAACCAAGAACUUUUUCUUGGGCAUCACCAUAGACCCAUUAGUCGUCGUCGUCGUCGUCGUUGUUGUUACUGUCAAUGAUGACACCUUAUCUGUUUUCUUGGUAGUACUAGACUUGGAGGAAGAGUGAUAGAGAAAUGACCAGAAACCACCUCUUCUUCCUGGGCUAAAAUCCUCGCCAUCAUCAGUAGAAGCAUCCAACCAAAAAUGCUUUCUUCCAGGAGUCGUAGUAGAUUUGCUUCUCUUGAAAACAAUAUCACGAUCUGAUGAUGAUGAUUCGACCAUUAUUUUUUUCUUCUUUUUAGCCAAAAGAAAAGGGAUCCCGGCCCUCCUCGUGUAGUAUUCUUGAUAUUGGCUAUUAUUUCCACCAUCAUUUCUACCUUUUGAAGAUAUAGGACGCGCAGCAAGUGAAAGUGAAGAAGCACCACCACCACCACCACCGAUAUCAGAUCUAAAAGAAGAAGAAGAGGAGGAAGAAGAAAAAGAGGCACGAAUAGGUAAAGGAAGAGAGGAAGAAACCAACUUGCCAAGCUUUUCUUGAAGGCAAAAAGCACAGAUCCCACCUGGGUUGUUUCUAUAAGGAUGUUCACUGCAUUGCAUACCAUCACCUACGUAUUCACCAACACCAACGUUACCACCUCCACCAUCAACACCUCCUUUGAUUAUUCCAUCCAUCAUCAUCUGAAUCAACUGUUCUUGCAAUAGUAAUAGCUGAAUAGGCUUUCACUAGAAUUUUCGUUUCUUGAGUUGGAGAGAGAUGGGAGGAGGGAGAGAUGCAAACAAAAGAAAGAGCACAAAUGGUCAGGCAGUGUAGAAAAAAAAUUAAAUAUUAAAUAUGAAAUUAUAGAAAAAUAACCGAAGGGUAAAUAUAUAAAAAAUAAAUAAUUGAAAUAAAUCUGAGGGGAGCACGUGGAAUCUUGACUUGGAGUUUCUAACAAGGUUGGAAACAAAACAAGCAAUGAGCGGAGCCAAAAACCCUAAUACAUCCGAGGACCCCCUCAUAAACAAGAACCUCAGGCUCCAAGCCAAAAGACCCCUCCCUCUAUGUAAUUAUCAAUGCUAAGCUUAAUUGAAAUCAAAAGCUUAAUUGAAAUCAAACUGAAACUGGUAAUUUACUGCAGUGAAACCCACACUAGGGCUAAUUGAUUGCUAAAUUCAAGAACCCACAACCACAAUCUAGCUCUCUUUAAUUGUGCUGGCCAUUUUAGGCUGCCCAGAUAAAUUUCUCUUGUGUCUUAAAUAUUAAGAAGAAAAUAUAAAUGGGUAAUUGUAGAAACCUUUGGAUCUUACCCUGUGGGUUUAUGCUUGAGCUUACCAUAUUCAACUUUAGAUUCCAGAUUGCACAUGGAGAUCUUCACACAUUUUUGUCUCAUCUAAGGCCUCUGAGUCAUGAAUCUCAAGCGAGAGCUAGUCCAACCAUGUACCCAGAGCAUUUUCGUUGGAGUUCUUUUGUUAUUUAGUACGAAGGUGGUGGGCUUGUGGUACAGACAAGACCAUUUAGACAUGGCUGUGAUUCCAUUUUACUUGGGAUUAAUUAAAUUUAAUCCGGAUUAGUUUAGCUAAAAUGGAUCUUAGAUUAAAUUGACUUUGUGUAUAUGGAUGGACCAAUAAGAUAGUGAAGAGUCCCUAUAUCUUGUUGAUUGUCUAUUUGUGUAUAUUGUCCCUCUCUGCAUCAGAUUAGACCACUCAACCAUAAAACCUUAGCCACUAAUUUUUUUACUUUUUUUAAUCAAAAUUAGUAUGAUGAAAUCCAAAAAGCUUUGAACCCCCAAUAAUUUCCUACACAAAUGGGCCAAGAAAAUAUAAGCAUCGUUCAUACUAAAACAGUAUAUAUAGAAUAAUUUUUUAAAAAAAAUAAAAAAUUAAUACAUUUUAAAAAAUUGGUUUCAUGAGCGAAAUAGGUAUUUAUGGAUUGAAAGGAGACAAGACAGAGAGGCAUUAUGGAUAUUUAAGACAAUAGAUGGCAUUAGGGCACAAAGUGCACCAUCUCAUUAAUUAAAUGGCAGCUUAAAUUAGGGCAACUUUCAAGCAAUAAUUUGUUUAUUUCCGUGCACUGAUCAUGGACAGCUUACCCUUGAAAUACUGGAUAAUGACAAUUGACAAUCCAAGACAACCAGCUUUCUUUCUUUCUUUUAGACAAUUGAAGAAAUAACUUAUUUUAAAAAUAUAGAUUAUGUUUUUUUAUAAUAAUAAUAAUAAUGAAGAAGAUAAAACAUGUGAGAUGGAGUAGCAUGCAAUUUCUGUUCUUCAUUCCUGAUAAUAUCAACAUGGAGGGAGGGGACAUCAUCAUCAUGACUUUAUGAGUUUUACUUCUUACCUAAUUAAUAAUAUGACCAUCAUUUGUAUUUGGAUUUGGAUUCAAAUCAAAUUGGAAUUUUAAUGAUUUAGAAUCCAACUUUUUUUGAAAAAAAAAAAACCAUAAUUUGAUUAAUCCAAUUUGACCAUAUAAAAUCGAAUUUUCUAAUUGAAAAAAAACCUUAUAGUAUUCAUGGGCCAAAAUUGCUGGUUUCAGCCCAGACCGGCUUGUGGCUGUGGGCCAAAACAUCAUAAUGGGCAAGGCAGAGUGUUAAGGAAACGGUCUGUGUCUCCUUCUUAUGGGCCUUGGACUCAUGUUCUGUGCUUUCAUGUCCUAAUACAGCAAGAGAGAUAGAUCAAAUGGGUGGUGUAAAAUUGUAGUGGAAAGCAGUAUAAAUAAUCAACUGAAAAUGGUGAAAUUUCAACUUGGGAUAUCAUCCAGGAAGGCCUUUCCCAUGAUAGUGAACAAAUUUGAUCAGCCAGAAAUUAAAGAUAAACUUCACCUUCUGCUAACUAGAAAGAAACAAUUCAGACAUGCCAUUGAUGCAUAUUUCAUGUUCUCUUCAAUAACGUCUUCCCCAGGCCUAUACUCAUUUGGUGGAAAAGAUAAAAAGAAAUGAAAGAUGAGUUCUGAUAGCUUUUUCCUCUUCCUUAAUUAUUAAUUUCAUGGGAUUGUUGGGAUGAAGAUGAUGAGAUAAGGGUCUGAUAUUGCCACCCUUCUUCCAGCCCAUCAGAAAUGUUACUGCCAUUCCUGUAAAUUGCAUAGAGCACUAGCUGUGCUGCCCCAAGUAAAAAUCCAGCUCCAUUUGGUACCUACACAUACACCACAACAAUGCAUGAAAUUUUCACUUUAAAUAUUUUAUAAAUUUAUUUAUCAAGCUUUCUUUCUAAAUUAAGUGAUAUUUUGAGUGGUCCGUUAAUAAUUUUUCAGUCCCAAUCCACUUAAGGCCAGGUGUUUGGCAGUAGCGAUUGGCAGCCAAGAUUACUAUCAGCGUCCCGUAGCAAAAAUAGCCACGUUUCCAUUUCCUUACAAUGAUUAAUUCAUCUCAACUAAUAGUCAACCAUUGUAUCCAAAGCUUAGCGUUGGGUUAACAAAUUAGAGAGUUAGCUAAUAAAAUUGCACCUCCAUGAUCCCUUUGCUGAGAGAAACUCACUUACCCCAAGAAAAUAAUCACUUGUGAGAAAAGCAUACAAGCUCCAAAUCCCUCCAUUCAAGAAAAGGAAGAAGGAGAGCAGGAACGGCAUGUACUCCACACUCUUACUGCUAAUCACUGUUUUCUGUAAAGACAGACGUACGUUUGUGUUAGAAAGACAACCUCCAUCACAUGAAUCAAUGGUUUCUGAUCAUGAUUGUGUCCAGGACAAUAAAUUAUUUGAUUGUAAGGACCCCAAGAAUCAUGCUUCCACUUGUCCGAGAAUGAUCUUGUCUAGGUUUAAUGAAAGAUUUUUAACCUUUACAAAGAUCUGUGUCAACAUGCAAUAAGAGAUUAAUGAUGAUAACCUUAGUAUAGAAUUCAUAUUAUCUACAAUGAGAAGCAUGAGAACUGAAACUUUCAACCAUUGAGCUUCAGACCCAUCACCCACAUAUGUUAAAGUGAUAAAAACCACUCACCAUAGCAGCUAGAGGCGAACCAUACAUAAGAAUAUUGAGACCAGAACACAUGAACCCUGUCACAUUAAUCCGCACUUGUCCAUGCAACGCCAAGCCAGUAACCAGAACUGCUGCUGCUAAGAACCCCACAUCCAAGAUCCCAACCAGAAUACUUGUCUUAGCCUGCACCACCACGAAUUUGAAUCAUUUGAUGAUCCAUUUAUGGGAAUUGUUUCCGUUUCUGAUAUAACGUACCCUCAUUUUUGGUGGUGCAUAUACAAGGAAGAGAGUUACGUAUACGAUUUCCACCAGGAUUCCAAAACCAUUAACAGUAGCUACAAGGAAGGCUCCUGGUUUGAUGAUGCCAUAGUAGGUCCAUAAGGCUGCAUUUAGUAAUGUGCAGAUAUAAGGAAGACUGUCAAAGUCCUCAGUGGAUUUUCGCUUUACAAUUCUCCAAAAAGUUCUUCUGCAAAAUAAUCAAUCCAAGAGCUAAAAACCAGCUUAAACAGACAAUCAUAAUUAAGAAGGGUGAAGAGUUUUACGCUGGAGAAAGAAACAUGAGCACUGAGAUCACGUUGCCUGGAAAAAGAGAGAAGAAAAUCAGAAGUUGUAAUUAUGGUAAAAUUUUAGCAAGAAGAUUAUGCUUCCUCUUACCUAUCACUCCAAACACCAAACUCAAGAUUUCCAUUCUAUGAAAUCGGCGGUUUCCUUGAAUUCUCCAAAUGGAAAUGAAAAGAGAGUUGGUUAAAUGUGGAGAGAGAGAGAGAGAUUCUUUGUAUCAACAUGAGUCUUGUAAAUUUACUUGGAGAUAUUGAUUUUCUUUCCUGCCCAAAAGAAAUGGACUGCAUAACUUGCAAAAAUGUCAAUGAAUUUUUUCCUUUUUUGGGAAAUUAGAUUUUUAUUCAACAUGAAACUCGAAGUUUAAUUUUUACAAUUCUUCUAAUAUAAAUAAAUCCUAAAUCCUCAUUUUGUGUGUGGUUAAAAGGAUGACAGCAACCUUUAUGCUGAAGCAAUGAAAAUCAAUGUGGAAUUGCAUAUGACACAAAAAGAUUAUUGAUGAGUAAAUAGCUUAAAUAAUUGUAUGUAACUUUCAUACACAGUAUUUGUCACACGUCUAAAUUUUUUAUUGGUAAAGCAAAUUAAUUAUGAUUAACUCUUGUAAUAUUGUAUUCAUUACAAUUAAUUAAAUAUGGUUGUUUAUUUAUUAUUAUAAUAUCAAUAAAUAAAAUUAAUAAUAAAUAAUUGCAUUUGAAUAAAUAUUAACAAGUGUAAUAUUAUGGAUUUUGUGGAAAAUGAGGUUGUUAAACAAACUCGGAAGACUCGAGCAAGAUGAGGUGGGCAUUGGGAACCCGAAAUGUAAUUAAUAAUGUGGGCCCUGAAUUAUUUGAAUUAUGAAUCACGUGCCUUCUUGAAUUGAAAGAAACCUCUGUUUCUGUACUAUUGGUCCAGGAUUAUUGGGACUUUUGUGGUGGGUAUCUUUUUUCUUCAAUAUCACUUUAUUUUGCUCUCUCACUCUAAUUUUCUUUUUCAUGUUUUAUUUUUCUAUCGCUUAUUUAUUUAAUUAAUCAUAUAAUGAAAAUUUAAAAUCUCUCUAGUAUCCGAUAUGACCUUUCAUGAAAAGAAUGCGGGGCCUAUUGUGUCGGAUAGGCCCAAUUCAGAUUCGAUCGCAAGGAAAAUCUGUUAAGACUUUGGGAUGUUGAUUUCAAUAGCAUCCUUUAACAAUAAAGAUACCAGAUCGGCCCCAAAUGGAAAAGCAAAGAAUAUCAAACGGUGAGAAUUCAAUUUCCUGAAAAUCACGCCCUACAUACUGCUGAUUCCGAUUUUCAAACACGCUACUGAAUCCAAACUAGCUCACACACGCAUCCAUCUAAAACCCAAAAAACCACUACCCAAAAAAACUCUUAACUCCAGCCUAAAAAACCGGUACCCAAAAGACCUCAACUCCAACCUAAGGCCCAGGCUCCAAACUAGCUCACACACCCAUCCACGACCUACGCAGCACCACCCACAAAACCAGUCAAAUCCAACCUAAGGCCCAGGCUAUAUGAUGUUCGCACACUAAUUCUGCUUUUUAUCUUUUGAUAAAAGAUAAAUGUGCACACACACGUUGAGAUAUGCAAUAAUUCAUUUUCUAGAGGCUAAAGCCAAAGUAAAUUGUAAGACCCGCUUUCAGUUUUUUGACAUUCUAAUUUAAUCAUGCGGGGCGUUCGUUGUUAUUUUCACAGGCAGCAGCAUAAUCAAAAGAUCAUCGUAUCUAUUUAGACAUAACCAUAUAAAAAAUAUUAUUUAAUAUCUAAGCUCUCAUUUCUUAGGUAAUCCUUAUUGUCUACAUUUUUCCAUGUUAUACAUUAUUAAGCUACUAGCUUAGCAUUCGGAAAAGGGAAGAGGAAAAAAGAUUCAAGAAAAAUGAGUCCCCCAAUCCAAUGGUCACAUUAAUCUUACAACCGAGAUUUUGCUUGUUCCACUGGAGCACUCUGCAACAGGACAGUACAAAAAACAUCAUUAGAGAAUUGCAAUAUACACAACUUCUGACUUGUCAUGGCUCAUAGAUCCCAUUUUGAAUGAUCAAGGUAUACACAACUUGCAUGGUACGGAUAGUUAAAAAGUUACGUAGGUAGAGAAAAUAUCUAGAAAGUUGAAGGAUCAAAAUUAAAUGUUCAGAAUUCAUGAUAUUAGCAACUUCUGUAAUUUAUUGUAUGAAACGGUUGCCUAGACAAUCAUUUCAUCAAUUGGAGAAGUUUCUCCCAACCAAGCUGGGCAAACUCAAGUGAGCUUGUUGCAAAGCGGAAAAUCAGUAGCAUAACUGCCAAAGGUGAGUCCUAGACAAAUGUACACCUUCAUAGGCAUAGAAAAAACUGCCAAGUCUUCUGGUGCAUCAUAUAAUGGGUUUAUCUUUCUUGUUAUUCCAAAUGUAAAAUCAAUAAACUGUAAGUUUUAGAUAUCUCACCAGUGGAGCACCCUUGGCAGCUCUUUCAGCCAAGAAAUCACAGGGCUUAAAGAAUUCUCCGUACAUCUUUGACCACUCCUCCAGUCUUGAAUUUAUAUAUUUUGAUCCAAGAGAAUCAGCCCAGAACAAAAUGCCUCCCCUGAUGCAAACAAAAUCAAUAAAUUAGAGAUGAUAAGCUCUCAGGGAAACCUCUUCUGCUAGGGGAAGAACACAGACCUGUAAAAAGGAAAUCCCAUGCCCAUAACAGAAGCAAUAUCCAGGUCUGCAGCUUUAACAGCGAUUCCUUCAGCAAAGACUCGGCAGGCUUCAUUCACUACUGGGAAGAAUAUCAUCUCCACAAUGUCUUUUUCAGGUAACUUAGCAAGCUGCAUCAAGGAUUAAUCCCACAGAAUGAGAGAGAGAGAGAGAGAGAGAGAGAGAGAGUCCUAUGCCAGACACUUCUAUAUUCUUUUGCUAUUCACAAAUCAAAAUUUUCCAUUUUUCAGCAUUAGAUACAAGUAAAGCAUCAAGCUGAGGAAAGCUGGUAGAGAAGAACAAUUGUUAUGCAGAGAAUAGGAGAGGAAAGACACCUUGGGGUCAAUGGUAGCACCAGAAAUGCUUCUUGCCUUCUCAAUGUAUUUCCUUAAUUCAGGAUCUGGACUAGCUUUGCGCUUGUCAUCAUACAAAUAGAACCCUUUGCGAGUAGUUUCCCCUAUUAUAAUCGCAUGUAAAAUGAAAUGCUCAAAACACAGUUUUUGUACAAUUGUUACUGACAAGUAGUUUCCCCUAUAAUAAUCACAUGUAAAAUGUAAUGCUCAAAACAAAGUUUUAACACAAUUGUCAUUAACCAAGUUAGAGCAAGUCUCUAAAGUUCAGCGGCUACAAUUCUACCCUCCACUUAUAUUUGUGUUGACUGUUGAGGAGAACCAUAGAUUACAAAUGGAAGAAAGACUACCUGCUCUCUUGUCCUCUUGCAUUAGUGGGAUCAGCAUUGAUUUAUAAGUUCGCUCAGGGAAAUUCUCAACAAAUUGCAUGCCAGUUGCGAUUGCCACACCAAAACCAACCAGAUCACACAACCUACAUCACAAAUGAAGUAUUGAACUUGUUCAAUGGGAGGAAUCAGUGAAGCCACAUCAGCUUAAGAUGCAAUAAAUUCAGUUUAUGAAUAUUUCUGUCUCCAGUUAAAAUGCGAGAAAAGAUAGAACCAUGUUUUUUCCAUUGUGUAAAGUACCGGAAUGGACCCAUUGGCAUUCCAAAUUUGGUGAUUGCCCUAUCAAUCUGAUAAAGAUCCAUCCCGUGUUCAACUAGCAAAAUAGCAGCUUGGGUGUAGGGGAAAAACAUCCUGUUGACAGCAAAUCCUGUGCAAUUUCCAACUACAACAGGAGUCUUCUUUAUUUUCUUUCCAACAUCUAGUAAAUCCACAAUUACUUGGGGUGACGUUUGGUUGGUACGAACAAUUUCCAAGAGUGGCAUGACAUGAGCCGGACUGCAUCAGGAACACAACUAAAGGGUUGAGCUAAAAUGAAAAGUAGGGGAAAGCUCUUAUUUUACACACACAAAUAACCACUCAAAAAAUACAGGAAGACAGAGAGAUGGAAGAUGUUACCUAAAGAAAUGAGCUCCAAUAAUCCGAUCCUGGGACAUGGUCCUCUGGCCAAUCAAAUUCAAGUCAAUUGUGGAGGUGUUGCUGGCAAGAAUGCAAUGUGGUGGGCAAUAUUUUUCAAGAUCAGCAAAUAUUUGUUGCUUCAAAGAAACAUUUUCAAUAACAGCCUGUUACAAGAACCAAAUACAAAUAAUUGAGAUGAAAAUUGUCUACUUUCAGAAUAAUAAAAAAUAAAAAUAUUAUAACAAAUCAUCAAACAUUCCAUUUUACCUCAAUGACCAUAUCCACAUCUUUGAAGCUUUCAUAAUCAAGAACACCCUUAAGAAGAGAGAGGGUCUUUUCAAACUUCUCUUGAGACAUUUUUCCUUUCUUGACACGGCUUUUUAGGUUGGCUGAGCAUAAAGGAAUAUUUUAUCAAAACCAUAUAAAUCCAAAAAGCAUGCCAAAAAAUAAUAAUUUGAAAUUACACAAUAGUCAAGUACAAGCAAAUAUCUUAAGAGAAGCCCAAGACAUCACCUCUAACUCUAUCGAUUCCAGCUAGCAAGAACUUUUCAUUUACUUCUUUCAGAAUAACCUGGUAAUUACUAAGGAUCAAUGCAGUUGCUAUGCCAGAACCCAUUAGUCCUCCACCAAGCACUGCAACCUUGUUCACUCGUCUAGGCAUCAAGCCUCUGUCAGUAACUCCAGGAACCUAUUCAAGAUUAAAGGAUAACAAAUUAAUUAAUUUACAUGGUGAUAUUAGUUAUCAUGAUGGCAAAAUCUGAUUUAGCAUUGCAACUCCAAGGAAGUGGAAAUGAACAACCAACAAUUCCAUAAGUGAAACUGCACAGAACCUUUGUGGUUCCACGCUGAGCAAAAAAGAUGUGGACCAAGCUCUUGCAGGUGUCAGAACGAACGAGUAUUUGAAAUUCGUCAGCCUCCUGCAAACGUCAAAAGUUUUAUCAGACAGUUGCCCUUAGCUGCUACUAGAAGCAACAAAAAGAAUAUAGAAGAUGGAUCAGAACCUUCCAGAGUCCAGCUCGAGGACCAGAAACUAUACCCUCUUCAACGACAUCGAUGCAAACUAAUGGAUGUUUGAGAUUAGGAGCCUGUUUCCGAGCUUGUGCUCUUGCAAACUUGAAAAUCUCCCUCGCUUCUCCAAGGGAAUCUAACUUGUCAGUCUUGUAAAGGCUAGCAACCCAGGGCUUUCUACGCUCCAAGAUAUCAAGGGCCCAUUGACGUGCAGUGCUCACCAACUCAUUAGGUGAAACUACAGCAUCUACAAGCCCCAAAGAAUGAGCUUCUUGCCCUUUGACUGGUUUUGAUGUCUACAUCAGAGAGAAUAGAAUAGAGAUAAGUUUAUGACAAUCUAGCUACAAUGUAAACCUGUAGAAGAUGCAAUGAUCAAGCUAUAGAAAAAUCUAGCUAGAACAUACCAACAUCAUUUCAAGGGCCUUUGUUAUACCAACAAGACGUGGAAGUCUCUGUGUUCCUGAGUCGAUUCAGUAGAAGAAGAUUAAAAGGAAAGAAAAUCUCAGUUAAGCAUGAAAUCAAUACCAAAGUCUCAUCUUGUAAAUGUAGAUUAUAUCUUAUGGAAAAAAGUAGCGACAAUAUGGAGCAGUAAAAUAAUUUAAAUAUGUUAGACCUUUAUUUAUUUAAUAUUCAGUUCAAUGCAUGGUGAUACACGUCCAACUUAUGACAUUAGAUUAUAUCAAUUACAUAUGCAUUGAGACAAUAAACAGGACCAAGAUUUGAGCCUAUAACCAUCAAACUACAUCAACUAUAUAUGCAUUAAGACAUUAGGGAGGAGAAGCACAAUAAAAAGCAAUUCCAGCAGUCUUCCAUAAAUAGGGAACAUAAUGAUCAGGCAUACCUCCAAAUCCAGGAAUUAUUCCAAGUUGAAGUUCGGGCAGACCCAGUUGUGCUGUGGGUGUUGAGAUACGAGCAUGACAUGCCUGACAUAACAAUUCAAUUAAAUUAUCUCAAGAAUUUGAUCAAAAAAGCUACCAGAUUGAAAUAGAUAGCAAUACAUACCAUUGCAACCUCUAAUCCUCCACCUAAGGCAAGACCAUCAAUGGCAGCAACUGAAGGCUUUCUUGCAGCUGGAGAACAAAGCAAGCAGACAACUAGUCAGCACAUACCAAUGCAAUUUUUUCAGAAAAUGCUUAAGCCAAUGUGAACAAAAAUAAAACUGUAUCAGGACCUUCUACAGUGUCCGUUAGAAUCUCCACAGCUAUAAAACCAGGCUUUGGUUGAUCCACUGAGAAAACAUAAUUUGGACAUUACUGAACUUGCAAUUAUGCAUUGCUAGAGUAUAAAACAUAUAAUACGUUACAUGUACCAUUUCCCCUUUGAAUUCCACCAAAUGCAGUAAUAUCAAAGCCACCAGAGAACUUGCCCUUUGCACCUGCACCAUUGACAUGACAUGUUAGCUUCACAUCCCAUAGACCCACUUGAACUCAAAAAAUGGUUGACAAGCAUCCACACAAUAUAAGCUUUUUUAUUUGAAAUAUAAGCCUUUUUUUAUUUGUAACAGCUUCAAACACACCUGUGACAACAAUUGCCUUCACAUCAUCUCUUCUCAAGGCUUCGUCAAAACUAUCUUUCAAGCUAUUUAGAACUGCAAGAAGACCAUAAGAGGAAAAGAGUAAUAAGCCCAAUGUCUAGUCACAAUUAUGGAAAAUAUCAUCGUUUCCAAAAAGGUGUAAAGCAUAAACGAAGGGAAAAAAUAAACAAAUAAAAACACUGAAGCAAGCCUAAGCAAUUGUCUGAUUGUUGUCAAAUUUUAGAACAACAUAGCCAUUGGAUCACCCAAAGCCAUAAACCCAAAAUUUUAAGACCCUGAUCAAGUAACGGACUUUUAGCUUAUCGGAGGCAAGGAGUACAACUUCUACUGAGAACAUGAAGUUCAGUGAUAGUAAUCUAAAUGGGCACCUUUUAGCCUAUGAAUAUUCCUUAUCAAAUUUUAUGGAACUUAACAACCCGAUCCACCAUAUUAUCCAUCCAUCAAAUUUCCUAUCAUUUGAGCAUAAACACAUUCCCAGAGGCACUCAUAAUCCUGUCAAAUCAAAUACACCCAGAAUAGAUCACUGCAUAUGAAGCUAUCUUAUUGUGAUCUCCAGAGCCAAUCUCUUCUCCCAAUCAAUGACCAUCUAAUCCUUGAAUCAAAUAGCAGGGCAAUGUCAAGAAGAUCAAAAAUCACCAAAACAAAAGCUAACUCGGCUGUGCUUUCAAAAGCUUUGCAGGGAAAUAAAUCCCACAAAGACAACGCAAACAGCUAAAUAAUACAUGGCUGAAAGCUCGCCGAAUAAAAAUUAAGAAAGGAAAGUCGAUUAAGCUUCACUAUGAAAACAAGAGCUCAUGAAAUGAACUGAGUAUAUAAAGAUCUGGGCAAAUAANNNNNNNNNNNNNNNNNNNAAAAAAAAAAAAAAAAAGAGGGUACCAUCGAAAGAGAGAGAAUUAACAGGAGGAUUGAUGAUGGUGAUGACCGCUACACCAUCAGCUCCAACAUCAAUGGUGGUUCUCCCCUUAGCAGCGCUUCCCAUGGCUUCUGUACUGAGUGAAAAUGGAAGAAUGGGAUUUGGAAAUGGAUAUUAGUUAGUUGUUGAGAAUGAUUUAAAGAGGGGAUGAAGAAAAGAGAGACGUGCAAGGCUCGGCUGAAUGACGCUUGUAAGGUGUAAUGUUAGGAAACGCACCUUGUAGAAUUGCUAUGAGAUUUAUACAAUUGCAGUCGCCGCUGUAUGAUAUUAUUAUGUAUUAUUUGUCUUCUAAUUUGGAUAAGCGCUUAUGCUCCAGCUCAAUUGCUUUCUGUUGAGCGUGUGGCACACUCGCCUAAUUCUUCCCUUUUUCAUGCAGCUCCUCCUCCUCUUCCCUUGUUUCUAUCGCACAAAUGCUGAGAACGUUGGUGGCCAACUCUUUUAUUGGCCGAAUAUACUAUUUGAUGAUGGAUUUUUACAUUAAAAAAUCAUUUACAUAUUAUAUAAAUAAUGUUUAUUAAUUUCAAAUGGCCAUAAAAAUACCCACCAAUAAAAAGUAUAAUUGAAAAGUAAUUUUUUUUAUUUGAAAAAUAGAUGAAAAUAAAACGAGUAAGGAAAGUAAAUGGUUGUUUUUUCUUUUGUAUAAUCUUUUUAAUUUGGCGAGAAAAAUGGGGAGAGAUUGGAGGAAAAUUAUACUAUUGAAAUUAAAUUACACGUCAUAUAUAAUUCAAAUGUAAAAGUAAAGGGAUGAAAUAGUAUAUUUUCUUUCUUUUUAUAUUUUUAACUUUUCAACUAAAGGAAAAUAAAAUUAUUUUAAUUUCUUUUAUUUUUAUUUUCCUUCUAUUUGAAUAAAAUAAUAAAAGUAAAAAGUUUUUCUCUCUUAUUUUUUUCCUCCCUUUAUAUUUUGCCAAAUAUAGACUACAAGUUUUGUCAUAAGAGAUUAUUGAAAUUAUGUAAAAUUUGUUAAUUAUUUUAUACUUUAUAUUAAAAUGUAAUUAUAUAAUUUUAUAUUAUAUAUAUAUUGUAUUUUAAUUUUAAUAUUUUUAAAUAUAUAUAGGAUAAUUAAAAUGAUAAUUAAUCAAGUAUUUUUCAUAUUCUAUCGUAUAUUUUUAAAUAUUCUAUUUAAUUAAAUUUUAAUAAAAUGGAUUUUGAUAUUUAUAAUUAAAUUUUGAUAAUACUAUUGUGAGUUUAGAGUUUGAGUUUAUUUAUAAAGUAUUAGCUAUUUAAAUUUAUUUAUAUAAAUAAUUAAUUUAAUUUAAAAAAUAUAUUUUAUACUAAUAUUUAUAAUUUUUUUAUAUAUAUUUUUAAAAAAUAAAAUUUAAAUAUUUUUUUUAAAUAUUAAAAUUUUAAAUAAAAAUUAUUAAUAAAAAAUAUUUUAUAUAUAAAUUAUUAAUUAAAAUAUAUAAAAUUAAAUAAUUUUAAUUAAUUUGAAUGAAUUCAACUGCAACUAAAAUAAAUCAGAUUCAAAUAAUUUAAUUUUUAUGAGCAGCUUAUUCAUUUACUUCCCUAAUAUGUCUACAGUGUUAAAAAAAUACUGUACAUGGAAGAUUCAUUUCCACGCGCUUACCUUAUGAUUUAUGGCGAUACCAACUUAACAGUACUUUUUGUUAAAAUAUCACCUCGAAGUUUUAAACAUCGCCUCCAAGUUUCAGAAAAAAAACACAUUUCAUUCUUUAAAAAGUAAUUAUUAUAUUUAAUAAAAAUAAAUUAAAAUUUGAAAAAAAAAUAAUUAACACUUAUUAAUUUUUAAAAAUGACAAAUGCGAAGUAUAAUUCGGAAUAAAUAAGAAAAUAUGUUUUUUUUAAGAAGAAUAAACUAUUUAUUGUUAUAUGGACGGGAGUUAGAAAUUUGAUUGAUGUUUUCAAAGUUCACAGAUCCCUAUGCUAUCUUUUUAGAACUCAUUUCGAUACAUGUGCCCAUAAAUCAAUAACGGAUAGGUAUUAAAAAUCACACUAUAUUUUAAAUAAAAGAAAAUAAAACAUUUACACUCAAUUAUUUUUAUUAGUUUUUCAAAGAAUGCAACACUAAAAUUUUUAACUUUUGUUAAAUUAUAUUAUUGCAUUAUUUUAAAUAUAAUAUUAUAUAAAUAUUAAUAACAGGAUAUCUGUUGCGCUGCUGGUAAAGGUUUUUUCUGUUAUGGGUCGUGGGCCUUCUUGUAUGGGCUUUUGAAUUUCCAAUAUAUAUAUUUUUUUUUUUGUUAAACGAGAUCUUGGGAAAACUACCUGCAUCCAACGACACCGUUCUACUCAGCCUCCCCACUCCCAAAAACUAAAAGAAAUUCCCGCGCAAGUGCAACCAAAGCCCUCCAAAUUUCUUCCAUCCCUUCAUCAAAAUUCCACACACAAGAUUUCAUCCGUAGAUAGAGAUCAAUCAUGGCCACCGCCUCCACCAGCGGUAGAGACGAAGACCCGCCGCCGCCACUAACCGAUACCGAGAUCGUAAACCUAGCCCAUCAAAAUAACCUCCACGCUUACCUUCUUUCAACGUCUUCCCACACUACUGUCCUCUCCUACCUUCACACCCGUUCUCGUUCUCUCACUCCUUCAAUCGCCGUCUCCGAGUAUACACUCUCUCUACUGUCACUCAUUUCUCUCUCUCCGUAUCAUCCUUCUCUAUCUUCCUUACUCUCCUCUCUCCUCUCUACAUACACCCAUCUCUUCCUUUCUUUCCAAAUACCACAUGACCCCAAUUCCCUCAAAACAAUUAAUCUUUUCGCCACCCUAUUAAACUAUGUCCCUGUCAAGGAGCUUGAGUCCAUAGUUGAGUCAAUUGUAAUGGGUUUGUCAAAAUUAUUAGGUUCUGAAGAUACCCAGAUACUUGAUAUUCUUCCGGGUUGUUUUAGCUGCUUGUGUGUUGAAAAAGGAAAGGAAUGUGUGAAUUUGAUGUUGGAUAGGAUAAUUGAGAGUGACUGGUCAAAAGGAUUGUUGGUGAAGAUGGUUUUUCUCUCAAGGGAACUUGCAGGAUUUAUUGAUAAGGUGAGAGCGAGGGAGCUGUUGGAGAAGGUGUUCAAGGGAAUGAAGAGCGUGGACUUACAGGACUUGCCUUUGCUUUCAUAUCAGUUAUUGGUUUUGGCGUCUAAAGGGUUCAAUAAAAGGGAAGUGAUUGCUGGGAUUAUGAGGUUUUUUGGGUCUGAAUUGGUAUCAAAAGCAAGUUCCACCAUUAGACAAGUUGAAGGGACUGUUUUGCUUCAUGUUAAUUUUGCUGUGAAGCAGGAUCCCUCUCUGGGGCAGGAGGUUAUAGGGCUUGUGAAAUUGGACCCCAAGGCUCUUAAUCAUUUUGCUGUGGCUGUUUUAUUGUCUGUUGCAAAAGUUAGGAAGUUUAGUGAGAGUUCCAUGGGGAUUUUGAAAGCUUCAGUUCUUACAGCUUAUAGCGAUUAUAAGUUUUCCAGGUAAGGAUUAUCCCUUUCAAAUUCCUUAAGUUAAAAAUAUCAAGCUCUGUGAAUAGUUGAUAUGAUAGCUGUUUCCCCUCAUGCUGCAAGACAAUAAAUUCUUGCUUGUAGGCUUUAGUAACCGUGCAUCAAGUGUUUGUGUAUUCAUUGUCAAUUUACCAUCAAUGGCUUUCUUGUCUUAGCGUGAAUGAAGACCAGCCUGAAGCAGCGGAUUAUUGUCUUUAACUCCAUUUCAAUCUGAAAUAGGCUGAUUCAUGUCAAUAAAGCUGUUAAUUUUGUUAGUUACUCUAUUUUAGUAGUUCGUCAGUGUUGACAUUUUUCCCUUUCCACCAAUCUAACAUUCUAAUGUUACUUUGUUUUGGAACGUUUGCCUAACUUUCAGGAACUGUCUGUGGUUACCAGAUGAUUCAAAGAAAGAAUAUCUGCAAAAUGUCCAAAUCAUGGAGAAGUCUAUAUUAAGAGCUGUUAGUUUCUUUUACCACACAUCAAUCAGUUGGUAUGUGUUGGAACAUUUUUUUCCAAUAUAUAUAAGGCGAGCUUAUUUGUCUUCAGGUUAAUGAGAGCAACUAUGGAAGGGAGCAUAUUGUUCCUACCAUUGUGCAGUUUAGCUUUGCUUUGCUAGAGUCAUCGGAAGGGGGAAAGCAUGGAGACCUCUGCAAUUUUGAUGGUCUGUUGGGAAUUGAAGAGCUUAGUGUUCAGAUGCUGAAAAUUUUAUUUGAUAUCCACGACAUGGCAAGAAAUGAGGUUGUUACAACCUGCUUAAGUAAAUGUUAUCUGUUAUCUUCAGUUUUUUCUCCUCCAUUGCUUCUUAUUUUCUUUUGGCAGGCUCCUCUAAUGUUGAUAUGAAUUUGAGAACAAAAAAAAUCUUAAUUUGCAAGUAUUCCUACUUCCUUCAAUUAAUUUUGUGUUGGGAGUUAUCUCCUCUUGGCUAAUGAAGAGUAUCCAAAAUUCAGACAAAUUUGCCAAGGAAUUUGUCUUUGGCUAAUUAACUAGUGUUACAUGAAUAUAAUGUCUAAGCGCAACAAUAGUGAUUUGCCAACAUGUUUCAGAUCAUUGAGCAGUGCAAGUUGCGCAUCCUUUCUUUGAAGCCAGAGCAAAGCAUGUCAGUCAUAAGGUAACUGCAAGGCACUUAAAUAUCAAACUUUUUAUGAAGUUUGUGUGAAAACUUUGGUUGUUGAACUUUCUUUGCAGACUGGUAUUUUCUCUGGUUCAAAGUUAUCCUUACCCAGUGUUGGAACAUGUUUCUCGUCUGAAGGAAUUAUUAGAUUACUUCACUUUUGUCCGUGGGAAUGUUGCCUCAUAUCUUGUUGCUGCUCUAGCUCCUCUAUUCAAAUUUAAUCGUGAUCUUCGGGUAAAUGCUUCUCAUGUAAAAACUGCAAAAUAAUUACAUAAAAAUACUUGACGUUUAAUUGGUUCUACAAAUUUACAUGCCUAUUUGUUUCUAUAUCCAACAAUCUGGUGAUGAAACUACUCAAAGUUAGAUUUAUGGUGUACAAUUUUUGAAGAAUUUCUAAAUGCUUUCUAUUCAUUUGCUAUCUUAUUUCAACUCAUUGAAGUAGUAAUGUCAUGAUUUCUCACAAUGCAGGAUUAUACCAUUUUGGUUGUUCGUAAGGCCAUGUUUAGAAAAGAAGAUGCAGUUCGUCUUGCAGCGACAAAUGCUACUAUUAGUGUUCUAUUGGCAGAAAAACAAUCCACAAGAGAUGGCCUAUUCUCCUUUCAAGACUCAUCAAGCCAAGCAAGUUGCAGCCAGAAAGCUGAAAUACCCUGUGGCUAUUCUGGAGGUCUUUUUCAAGAGUUGAGUGGUUUACUACAAAGAUGUCUUUAUCUGCAGGUUACAUCUUUGUAUUCCUUUUUUAAGAUGGGGUGUGUUUUCACUCAAAUUUGCUCUUGUCAACUGUCUAAACUGUCAGAUCAAUUGCUGUCUUCAGGCAAAAGCGAAGAAAGCCAUGUAUCAUGGUCUUUUGAGGCUUGUCUUGGCAGAUCCAGCAAGUGGGGGAGCUGUAUUUGAUUUCCUCUUGCCUCACUUCCUUCAUUUUUUCAAGGAGGUAGUUAGUCAAUUCAUAUUGGAGUUAUUUGUGAAUAUCAUCUUAAAGUGGACACCUUGACUUAGCUUGUUUUAUAUGUAGGUUCUUACUUCUUAAGCAAUCCGGUUUUUUAACUAGUAUAUAGAAGUAAUUAAAUUCUGUGCCUAACAUUGGAACCUGUUAUUAACAGGAUGAUGUUGUUCAACUUCAAAUUGGUAGCUGUGUUAAAUCAGAUGGUGGCCAAGUUGUCAUUGAAGAGCCUCUGGAUUGUCUUCUAUCUUGUGUUUCUUGGAUUUUGCUCCUUCAACCACAUGAUAAAGCCAGUAAUCCAGAUUCCUUAGGGGCAUGUUUUGGUUUCUCCCUUUCUCAAGAGAACGAGGUAUUAUUAGUUUCAUGAAAUUGAGUAGAUUUGUUGGGAAAUGUUAAGGCAUGAAGGUUUAGUUACAUUAUAUUAUUCAAUUGCUGCAGGUAGGAAGACAUCUGUCCGGUGAGGCAUUCUCCAAGGCAUUCUUGCAGAUUCGAAAAUUUCUAAAGAAGGGAAAUUUGGAAGGUUUGGGACGUUUAAAAUUUAGCACUAUAAUUCCUUAAUUUCUUUUGAUACACUGUCAGGCUUUUGCAGAGAAAGUGUAAAUGAUUUAUAAGGGUUGUAUAUUUUCUAUUUACGGUUGAAUGUAAUAUAAACUACAUAGAUAAGGGUUAGUUUUCAUUGGCGGCCUCAUGUUGUGGCUAGAAAUGAUCACCUUUGCUGGUAAACUAUUUGGUAUUUAUGUGUACGAUUCCUUUAUAUGUUCGCUUUCACUUUGAGUUCAUGAAAUCUAGAAGAUAACGUUAAAUUUUGAAAAUGAGUUUUUCUUUCCCUGAAAACAGCUAACUUUCUUGUCUGGGAAAACAUUUCUUUCACCAUUUUUUUAAAAAUGUCACAACAUCGGAAAAUUAUAUAUAUAUAUAUAUAUAUAUAUAUAUAUAUAUAUAUGUUUCCUGGAACAUUUUCCUGGUACAAAUUAAGCUUUAAUAUUUUUGAACUUUUUUGGGGUUUAAGGAGUCUUUCUUUGGUGAAAGCAUGUGCGAAAAUGUAUUUUCUGCGGAUGAAAACUCUUGCUUAUUAGUUUCCCUCUCUUCAUGUCAGAUCAGACAUUCUUAGUGCGACACAGGGUUCUGGUUCUACAUCUGUAGAAGAAGAAAAUAAAAAAUGCCGAGCAUUGAUUUUAUCAGGCAUUAUUGAGGUGGUAUUGAAUACUAUUGCUACUGAAUUGGAGAAAGCGACGGAUUUGAACAGGGAAGAUCUUGAAAAGGAAAUUCUUGAGUUCGUAAAUUUUAAUGAGUCACUGGAAAAGUAUACUUGUGCAAAGCAGAGUUCUGUCAUCAGAAGUCAGAACGUACAAGCUAAUGCGCUUGAAAUACCUUAUCUUAGUAAUAAGGGAUUGACUCAAGAAUGGAUUCCAUUCUUUGCAACUUCAAGUCUCUGUCAGCUAAUGAAAACAGCAAUAAGUCUACACAAUAGUGAACGCUCUCGAAGUUCUGCAGCUUCCCAAAACCAUAGCCAGUUGCCCUCAAGGGAGACAUCGAAAUGCUUUAAGAUUAUUCGUUUUGUCUUGAAUAGUUCCCUUCAUCACAUAAGAUCUUACUGCACUGGAAGAAAAGAAGAACCGUUGAAGACUUUAAUAUAUGGGGAAAUCAAUUUAAUGGGUCCUCCUUUGCUGAAACUAAUUUGCUUGCUUAAUUCAGGACCAAAGCUUGCAACAGAUCAGAAAAAGGAAAUGAAGGGGAAAAAGGAUGUUGAAGGCGGAAAGGAGCACCUUCACCUAGCCUUAAUCUGUUUGAAGGAAUUGAUUACAAUUAGUUUGAAAAAUUCACACUCAACUAGCUUGCUUGAAGAUUUGUUGUCAGUAUCUACUCUCAAGUAUGAGAUCGAUGAAGAAGAUGAAGAAAUUUCCAGGAUUGCUGAUCAACAGAUAAGAAUCAAGAUGAAUUUCAUUGUCAAAAUUCUGAGGCCACUGAUCACUGAGCUUCUAGCACAAUCAUCUUUUCAUGAGAUCGAGGUACAUUCAUUAUCUGUGCCUCAUUUGAUCCAUCUUUCUUGCUGAAUUUUAUUAAUUUCCAAAGAUAACACCAUUUGAAGUGUCAUUUUGAUUGUCAGAUUGUCUGUGAGAUGUUAUUGUUGGUUUGUGAGAAAUUGCCCUCCAGAUGGAGGAAUUCUAAUGGGUCCUGGAGUAUUCAUCUCUGCAAAAAGAAUGGUGGCAUUAGAAAUUCCAAGGUUGCUAGAAGGGUUGCUGAACUUGCAAUUUCUUUAAGCUCACCACCGGAUGAUUUAGUUGUAGCUCAAUACAUGGCUGAGGAACUACUGCAUGUCAUUGGAUCGGAGAGGAACACCCAAAUAGAGAUGACUGAAUCUUACACCAUAAUAAACCAGUCGACAAGCACUGCUAUAAGUUCAUGCAUACUAAAGUUAAUUGAAGCAGUUAUCACUGAUAUGGAUUGGGCCGUGAAAAAACUAAAGAUGUUCUCUCUGGUAUUGCAGAAAAGCAUUCAUCUUAGUCAGAAUGGAGAAGAGGUUUCUGAAUUCCUGGUUGAGGAUAAUCUUUACUUGAGGGCUGAAGCAGUGGUGAAAGUACUAUCUUGCUUUGUUUUGAUGAGGCUUAAGGGUAAAUAAGCAGUUUGCAUGGACAAAUUAUUCUGUUGUAUAUACUGUUCCGUGUCCAAGUAUUAUAUAGUUUUACUGUUAAAUAAUUAUAUGCAGAUCCCCAAGCAGAGCAUUUUCUGAGAUUGACUGCAAAGUUUUACAAGCACUUGGCUCAGAUUUCAAGACUCAGAAUUGCUCCAAAAGGAUGCAAACAACUCAUCCCUUGUCCGACUUUCCAGAGGCUUGUGGAAAUAACCUGCAAGCAGCUCACAGUUCCUCUUUAUAAAUUUGUUGCGGAAUUACAAAGGGUAUUUUGGUUCUGUCACCACCUGUAAAAGUAACAUAAACAUAGGAUAUGUGUUUUUCUUUCAAGAAAUUCUUGUUUAUGGAUUCUAUUUAAUGGGAUUUGCAGGAACAACAAGAAAAUCCUAAUACUAAGGGUAUCAUCAACAAGAUCAAGAGAGAGAAUAAAUGUAUUCCUGAUCUGAUUUUUCAGAUAGAAGAUUAUGAGAAAUAUCUCAUCCGGCUCAGCAAGGUGAGCAAAGUGAAUUUACUGAAGCAUGCCAAGCGUAGCACCUCUAGGGAUUUCAGAAUAUUAGAUAAGAGGAACAGUGGAGAAGAUGCUCCAAAUAGCCAUGAGGCUGCCAAUGACAAUGAGGGUAGAUUACAUGAUUCAGAGGACAAUGAAUCAGAAAGGAUUUUGUCACCUCAUAUGGAUAGUCCUAAUGCUGCAGAGGAAUCUGACGUUGAGAAUGGGUGCAGUGUUUCUAAUGGCAGGAGAAUAAAGAGGAGUAGAGUUGUGCAGGACUCUGACGAUGAAACAUAGGAAAACAAUUUUGCUUUGAACAAGAGCCUCACAUGGGCAAAGAGUUGCAAUCUCCAUAGAACGUCCUGCCCCCUUUCAUAUGGCACAUUUCAUCACAUUUUUUACUGAAAAUAUUUUUCCGAUUUUAUGAUAUUGGAUGUUGAUGACAAUUUUAAUCUAAUAAUUAGCAUUGAAGUGGUGAAAUGAAAAUAUUCCAGUUUCGAGUACAAUGUUUGAUAUAGAUGUUGACAUUUUGCUGUCGACGUUCUGACAUUUUCAAGCCACUUGAAGGAGUAGAAAGGGGUACCUCCUUUCUUUUGAAAAAGAAAAAAAGAAAAAAGAAUGCAUUAUGAGUGCCAACUUUCAAUUAAUCUUCCUGUAAAUCCCUCUCACAAGUACAAAAAUAAGGCUCAUGUUAUAGGUUUCAAACUCCAUAGCCAACUUCACCUUUUGGAAAACACUGGAGUUGUAGAUAGUAUAGCAAUGGUGGUGGUGUUAAUUGUGAUGAUAAGAUGAUCCCGUUGCUUGAAAGACAUCAAUCCAAAGUUCCAAACCAUUUCAAAUAAAAUUAAAUAUACAACUUGAGCACAGUAAUCUCUGGCUAGAGUUUUUGGAUGCCAGAAGAUUUGGUUAAAUACAUACAGCAACCAUUAACUAUAUAGCAUAAUGAUCAUGAACUGGCUGUCCCUAUCUUCGUGAUGGGUCUCCAUCCUCGUCACCCAGAUUUGAAUAACAGAACUGCUUUCUGGUCCAAAUAGAAAUAAAUAAAGUGGUUUGUCUCAUGAGUCACAUAUGAACCUGUGGAUACCAGAAAUAAAUAAAUAAGAAAAUGAUCAUUGAAAUUUUAUCCAACUGAAGCUACAGCAUGACCAGACAAAUCCUCCCCACCAACUUGAUUCCCCAGUCCUCAAUUCCCCAAAGCAUAUUGAUCAACACUAAACAACAAACGCUUGCUUAGUCGCACAUGUUUAUACUGAUGGAGUCACUAGCCUAACCCUACAUGUAAAUGGCACUAGAUUAUUUCCCAUAAGUGGUUAAGAAGCAAAAGAAAUCAAGUAAACAGUCCAGUCAUUGUCCAUCUAUUACACUGUCAAUUUCAACUAAUUAAGUUGCACUCAAUUGGAAUAAUAAUGUCCUAAUUCCUAACCAAAAGUUGCUCAAACCAAAUAAAAGAAUAAAAACCAAGAUUGCUUCCGUAACCUACCGAGCAAUAGGUCAUUACAUCCCCAAAUUUGUUAAGGACUCGGUCGUGCUAAUAUCAUGUUAUUUUCUUUUUUGCAUUUUGAAUGAGUUAGUUUGUCACGUGAAACUAAAUCAAUACAAAGGAGAACAAAACGGACUUCCUCUCUCUCAAGAUCUAAAUUACUUUGUCUACUAUGUCCCAACUACUAGUAGAAAGCAAGUAAACGGAC